rnacentral:rRNA from 1 species
GGGCGUAAGCGCGCGCAGGCGGUUUCUUAAGUCUGAUGUGAAAGCCCCCGGCUCAACCGGGGAGGGUCAUUGGAAACUGGGGAACUUGAGUGCAGAAGAGGAGAGUGGAAUUCCACGUGUAGCGGUGAAAUGCGUAGAGAUGUGGAGGAACACCAGUGGCGAAGGCGACUCUCUGGUCUGUAACUGACGCUGAGGCGCGAAAGCGUGGGGAGCGAACAGGAUUAGAUACCCUGGUAGUCCACGCCGUAAACGAUGAGUGCUAAGUGUUAGAGGGUUUCCGCCCUUUAGUGCUGCAGCAAACGCAUUAAGCACUCCGCCUGGGGAGUACGGUCGCAAGACUGAAACUCAAAGGAAUUGACGGGGGCCCGCACAAGCGGUGGAGCAUGUGGUUUAAUUCGAAGCAACGCGAAGAACCUUACCAGGUCUUGACAUCCUCUGACAACCCUAGAGAUAGGGCUUCCCCUUCGGGGGCAGAGUGACAGGUGGUGCAUGGUUGUCGUCAGCUCGUGUCGUGAGAUGUUGGGUUAAGUCCCGCAACGAGCGCAACCCUUGAUCUUAGUUGCCAGCAUUCAGUUGGGCACUCUAAGGUGACUGCCGGUGACAAACCGGAGGAAGGUGGGGAUGACGUCAAAUCAUCAUGCGCCUUAUGACCUGGGCUACACACGUGCUACAAUGGGCA